rnacentral:sRNA from 1 species
GCCAGGUGUGGUGGUACACACUUGUAAUCCCAGCAGCUCUGGAGGCUGAGGCAGGAUGAUUGUAAGUUUAAAGUCAGCCUGAGGAACUUAGCAAGGCCCUAAGCUACUUAGUGAGACCCUGUCUCAA